rnacentral:rRNA from 1 species
AGAGUUUGAUCAUGGCUCAGGAUGAACGCUAGCGAUAGGCCUAACACAUGCAAGUCGAGGGGCAGCACAUGACGUAGCAAUACAGAUGGUGGCGACCGGCGCACGGGUGAGUAACACGUAUGCAACCUACCUUCCACAGGAGGAUAACCCGUUGAAAGACGGGCUAAUACUCCAUAACACAGGGGUCCCGCAUGGGAAUAUUUGUUAAAGAUUUUUUCGGUAGAAGAUGGGCAUGCGUUCCAUUAGCUAGUUGGUUGAGGUAACGGCUCACCAAGGCAACGAUGGAUAGGGGAACUGAGAGGUUUAUCCCCCACACUGGUACUGAGACACGGACCAGACUCCUACGGGAGGCAGCAGUGAGGAAUAUUGGUCAAUGGAGGCAACUCUGAACCAGCCACGUCGCGUGAAGGAUGACGGCCCUACGGGUUGUAAACUUCUUUUAUACAGGAAUAAAGUGAGUCACGUGUGAUUUUUUGCAUGUACUGUAUGAAUAAGGAUCGGCUAACUCCGUGCCAGCAGCCGCGGUAAUACGGAGGAUCCAAGCGUUAUCCGGAUUUAUUGGGUUUAAAGGGUGCGCAGGCGGAAGAUUAAGUCGGCGGUGAAAUUUUGCAGCUCAACUGUAAAAGUGCCAUCGAUACUGUUUUUCUUGAGUGUGGAUGAAGUAGGCGGAAUUUGUGGUGUAGCGGUGAAAUGCAUAGAUAUCACGAGGAACUCCGAUUGCGCAGGCAGCUUACUAGGCCAUAACUGACGCUCAGGCACGAAGGCGUGGGGAUCAAACAGGAUUAGAUACCCUGGGUAGUCCACGCAGUAAACUAUGAUUACUCGCUGUUUGCGAUACACCGUAAGCGGCUUAGCGAAAGCGUUAAGUAAUCCACCUGGGGAUUACGUUCGCAAGAAUGAAACUCAAAGGAAUUGACGG